CAGAAAACGAAGCAGAAUUACCAGCCACUCCCUGGGUUAUUUCCUUGCACGGCAGAGAAGCACAAGAGGCAAAUUCCACAGCUCCCCUGGAAGUGGGAUUUGCUCCAUCACAAAGUUCAGCUACCUAGACAUAAACUUCUGCUGAUAAUGAAGUGGCCUGGAACAAGGACCAAAUGCACAGAAUGUCACUUGAAUUUCCUGUCUGCUCUAUGGAAGCACUCAAGCCAGAGACAUCAAAUCAGCUCCACGCAUGCAUACAGGAAUAAGUACAAGCAUGGUGAGUGAAGGUGGCUCCAAGAUGCCAAAGAGUCAGUGCCUGCCAACGCACAGAGAAUAAAGUGUUGCAACUGUCCCUUCUGAUUGAUCAAACAGCUCUUUCAACACUGCUCCUGAGUCACUUCUCCUACAUCACAGCCCUAACAGAGAAGCUUUCUGCAGUACUCGCUUCCUUCAAGAACACAAAUAAACGUGACAAGGUUUGAGAAGCAACCUGUUAGCCUUGUCCUUGUGUUUGCAGACAAUCACAAAGAAAUGGCCCAAAGCUUUUAAGGAUGAGCUAAGAAGUGCCUCUUCAAAGGGCUGAACUGCUCAAAUGUGAGAAUGUAAUUCCUGCUUAGUGACGUCCACAACACAGUGUGUUAAAACAUGAAUUUUAAAAGGCUGCCAGUUAUUCUGCUUCCACUCAGUCCUCCAGCAAAAGCUGGGGAUGGAAGCUCUUCAGAAAGGAUUAACAACCUAUUGGUUCUUUUACAAGCCACAAAUUAAAGACAAGAAGCUUACCAAUAGGUGACUGGUCAUCCAGCUUUAACAAGUCUUUUCUGUUUGCCAACCUGUAUGCUCUAGCAUAGUGUGUUUGGUGGGGACAAGUCCUGGGGAGGCCUGCAUCUCUCAGGUGCAGUGCAGUGAUGGAAGCAGAGCUGCAAGGCAAGACCCCCACUCCCAGCUUCACUCCACAUACAGAAUAGGAGGCAGCCUCACUGCACAGAACAAUUGGCCAUGUGAGCAAUCACCUAUGAACACUCGGAGCUGAGAUCUGAUGAACAGGUGGGCACCGGGCUGCCAGGGAACAGCUCAUACAGCCCGCUGAUAGGGAGCAUGCAGGUGCACACACGAUCAAUGUGCUCAUCACCUGAAGCUGUUUUGAUUCCUGUCUUGAAGACACGCUUUGAUCGCCUUAAUAGAAGAGCUGACCUUAGGAGAAAGAAGAAGAGAAACUGCUAGGAAAAACAGCCACAGGCACACAAAAGCUUCCUGUGAAGCAGCGUUACUCAUAGGCAGCUGCUGCUGAUGAGCAUCAGCAUUCUCAUCGGCUGUGAGUCAGCAGCACCUGCUCCCCAUCACCUUCCUGCAGGACGUGCAGCACUGUGCUCAGCAGCCCUGCGUGGCAGGAUCCAGCCCACAGGACAGGGGCUGCAGGUCGGUCAGCAUGCUCUGGUUGAUACAAUCAUGUCUUAUACUAGCAGCACUCCUUUUGCAUUCACGCAGAAGAAACUGACCCCCUGCUUUAUUAGGGCAUUAUGUGUAAGCAGAAGCAGAUUUGAGCAGAAUUAAUACAGUAAACUUAAGGCGCACCUUAUGAAUUUUGUUUGGAAGACUCAAUAGGUCAUUCUUAAUCUUUGUGUAGUCCUGAACCACUGUUUCUGUUUAGGUACAUCUCUAUGAGGAUACAUACAUAGAGAUCACAUACAAUGCUGCUGUUCAAUCCAGAAUGUCUCAUGUUUUGACUGGAAAAGACACUACUGUACUUGGGAAAAAUUGAAGAUUCCAAGGUGGAAUUUCCACACAAUUAUAAAUAAUUUCUUAAAGAGUGCUCUGUUCCAUACAGAAAUGGCUGUCAUUUCUAUAGAUGUGAAAGGUCUUGACAGAUAACAAAUUUACUGUACUUUCUGACUACCUUCAGUGUUAAGCAAUUUACCAUCCAUCCAGUAAAGUUAUGAUCAGCCUAAUGUCCCGUUGCUUAUUAAUUACCAGCUCUACAAGACGUUUAAGCAGGAAAGAAAUGUGUAACAAUUGCUUUCCACCAUCUUACUUAUGCUUGCAGAGUUUGCAAGAUCACAUUCAGAAAACGGCAGAAUUCCUGACACUGGCAUUGUUUAGAACUUGGAAGACAUCCUAGCAUGUAAGAUGGGCACGUUUGCUUUGGCAGUCCUUCACCAUGGGAGGAGUGACCCAAGGGGGUGGCUUUAGGUGAAGGAAAGAAUCCUUCCCACCUUCCUGCCAAAUUAAUUUUCUCUCUAUUGCAUACAAUCCAAGCCAGAGAUGAGUCCCCAGGUCUCAAUCAAAAAAAACUUUGCUUUUUAACGUGAACAGACUCCACUUGACUUUUCUGUAUUUCACAGCAGAGAGUGAAUGGUACUGUAAGAUAUAAACAUCACACUACAGUCAGUCACAUGUGUGUGGCCCACACACACAAUGCUGUUACUGGAAGACCUCCUUUGUUUGUACCCGUUCUCUUCAUCAGCUCAAAUUUGAUUUUUGUUCUGGGUCUCUCUUUCUAGAAGAGAAAACGGUGAUGAUCACAGAAUACUGAUAAUGUGAUAACAUGCCCAGUGAAAAACAGAUCUCACUGUCAACCCCAUUUAUAUGGCAGUACAUUGGCAUUUUUAUUUGCCCUAUUGACAGUAUCUGUUUGUAGAACAGCCCUGGAAGACCCUUUUGCUGUUCCAGAGGUUCAAUGUCAUGCAAACAUGCAAUGACUCACUCCCUGAGUGUUGCAGUGGGGGCUACAAAACUUGUAAUUUUUGUUUCCUGGAGCAUCCAGAACUCCCUGGACAUCAGCAGGAAUUAGACAAGACUAGAACUGUGUCUAUUGUUCUUCUGUGCCUCAUUAUGUUCAGCAGGAUUUGAAUAUUGGGAACCAUGUCUUAAGGACAACAGAUUUUCCUGUUCUCUAAGAAGCUGCUCUUUCACAGAUGCAGUCUUUAUUUGACAAGCUCUCUGCUGAGUAUAAGAUCAAGCAGAGAAGAACAGAGUCAACUUUUGAUUAGAUUCAACUGCUUUUCGUGAUCGUAGGACUUGACUCCAAGCAUGAGACAUCUGGCAAACGCUUCAGAUGGUAGGAUGUCAUGUUUACUUACUUCUUUCCUUUGAAUACACAGAGAUACAUGCAUAAGGAAGUGGUGUGCAAUAAAUUUGUUAAAACCCCAUUUAUUUAUUUAGGGCAUUCUCUUCCCACCAUUCAUUAUUACUGCCUGAAGUACUUCUUCCUAGAGAGAACCUAAAGGAACUCAACAUGAUAACUUAUAGCCAUGUUUGCUGCUCUGCAUACAGACUGCUUUGACAGAGCAGGAUUAUCAUGACAUAUAAAAAAGCACAAGGUCAGAAAAUGAGUGUACAGGUACAGUGAUAUUGUUUUGUUUUGUUUUUAAUUUGCUCUAUGCAGAUUGUUUUGCUCAGAAUGACUCUGACUACUUAUUACUCUGGCCUUACACUUUCAUGUUUGUUGUUCAUAUUAUGCCAUCAUGCAAGCCAAUGAGUGUAUACUGCUCUUUUACACGUAGUCCACAUCAUUCACGUUAUUAUUAUUUAGUAUGCUUUAUGAGUAUGCUUGUGCCCUAACUGUAUCAUGUACUGUUUAUAACACAGCUAUGCAAAUAAAGCCAAGGGAUAAACAAA